GGAUGCUGUUGUCAUGCAAAGGGAAGUCGACUAGAAGGGUGAUAGCAAAACUUAGAUAUGUGGAGCUCUAUCAUUCAGCUAACAUUGUAUCGAGGGAAUGAGAGAAGGUUGUGUUGUUACAACUUGCAAGUGCGGCUAGGAGUGACAGUUUGAGACAAAAGUAUUGUUACAAGUGCUCCUAGGAGUGAGUAAUGCAAGUUAUCUUGGAGUUGCUGCACAUUUGUAUAUAUCUUUUGAU
rnacentral:lncRNA from 1 species